rnacentral:rRNA from 1 species
CCAGACUCCUACGGGAGGCAGCAGUGAGGAAUAUUGGUCAAUGGGCUUACGCCUGAACCAGCCAAGCCGCGUGAGGGAUGAAGGUACAGAGUAUCGUAAACCUCUUUUGUCAGGGAACAAAGGCGGGGACGCGUCCCCGGAUGAGUGUACCUGAAGAAAAAGCAUCGGCUAACUCCGUGCCAGCAGCCGCGGUAAUACGGAGGAUGCGAGCGUUAUCCGGAUUUAUUGGGUUUAAAGGGUGCGUAGGCGGGCUGUUAAGUCAGCGGUCAAAUGUCGGGGCUCAACCCCGGCCUGCCGUUGAAACUGCAUCCCUUGAGUGCGCGAGAAGUAUGCGGAAUGCGUGGUGUAGCGGUGAAAUGCAUAGAUAUCACGCAGAACUCCGAUUGCGAAGGCAGCAUACCGGCGCGCAACUGACGCUCAUGCACGAAAGCGUGGGUAUCGAACAGGAUUAGAUACCCGGGUA